rnacentral:lncRNA from 1 species
UAAAAUUUUGAUUGUAAUUUAGAUGUAUGAAUUUUUGUUAAUGUCACCUUAAUUAAAAUUUAAAGAUUCUCUUGCUUGAAAAGUUAGCCUUUAUUUUCUUUUGUUAUAUGGAUUAGUAUCUAUGUUUGUUCAAUUUUAGAAGUCAUGAGUAUUUUCUUUGUUGCCUCAUCCCUUUACUUUUGCAAGCUUACGUUGUUUGUUUAUUGCAUUAAUUCAUUGAAUAUGGCCUUCUUCCUUUUACCUUUAUUCAUUCUUGUAUGAACAUAAAUCAUGAGGCAUGUAAGUGGGUGUCUUUGCUUUGCAUUUUAUUUGUUGACUCUCAUUCUUGUCCAAGUGUGCUUAUCAUUGUCAUUCAAAAUUGGUUCUUGAUAUUUUCUUUUGCUUUGAAAUAUGUCACUUUUAUGCCUUGAAUGUAUAUUAAUUUCCUUAUCUUUUCUUUGCAUGCAAAAAAAA